GAACGCACAUUGCACCCGGUGGUAUUCCGCCGGGUAUGCCUGUUCGAGCGUCAUUUCCACCCUCAGGCCCCCCUCCUCACGGGGGAGGGGCCUGGUGUUGGGGAUCUACGGGCCCUUCUGGCGCCCGUAGUCCCCUAAAUCAAUCGGCGUGCGCGCUGUACGUUGCCCCCUGCGUAGUAGUGAUUUCUCGCAUCGGGCCGUAGCGCUGUCCAGCCGCUAAACUGCAACUACGCAUUUAGCUAGGUUUGACCUCGAAUCAGGUAGGGUUACCCGCUGAACUUA
rnacentral:misc_RNA from 1 species